GAUGAACGCUGGCGGCGUGCCUAAUACAUGCAAGUCGAGCGAAGCGGGGACGGGUGAGUAAAACGUGGAUAACAUCCUAUAAAACUGGGAUAAAUUCGGGAAACCGGAGCUAAAAAGGAAACUUAUAGAUGGAUCAGCGCUGCAUUAGCUAGGUGGUAAGGUAACGGCUUACAAAGGCAACGAUGCAUAGCCGACCUGAGAGGGGGAUCGGCAAAACGGUAACGGAGACACGGUCCAGACUCCUACGGGAGGCAGCAGUAGGGAAUCUUCCGCAAUGGGCGAAAGCCUGACGGAGCAACGCCGCGUGAGUGAUGAAGGUCUUCGGAUCGUAAAACUCUGUUGUUAGAGAAGCGGUAUCUAACCAGAAAGCCACGGCUAACUCCGUGCCAGCAGCCGCGGUAAUUC
rnacentral:rRNA from 1 species